CGACAUACUAAGCCUCACAUCAUGCCCCCAUCUAGCCACAACUCACCCCCACAGCCCGGACCUGAGAAGCCACGAUUGCUGCCUCAAGUCACCAAGUUAGUGCAGGGGAAAGCCACAGCACGAAAGAGACACCUGCCAAACACCGGGGUAGGAUGAAGCCCAAAUCUGCGAACCUAGAGACUGAAAGCCAUGAUCCCAACAGACACAAUAUAAUUUUAGGACUGGACUUUUUCAUGGCACUAUCACUCAAAAGCAAACACACACAUAUUCGAUACCAAUCUACCCAAAACCUACGUACAAUCCAGCACAACACAACUACAUAG